UAGCCUUCCGGACAGGCAUACAAAAGUAGAGCAUACUGUACGUUCUGUUUGGUAACCUGCUUUUAUCACUUUUAUCGCCUAAUGAUGUGCCCUGGACCACUUUCCAUGUUAGGAAAUAUGCAUCUGCAGUUCUGAGCUUUUCAAACUGGGGACAUGUAACCGUACACCAAGGGUUCUGCAAAGCUGCAGGAGAACCAUGGUUCAUCACUCUAGAGCAUCAGUUUUACUCGGUGAAGGCCUCGCCCCUCACCUGUCACCUGUCACUUCACCCGAUGAGACUGACCCCUGCUUUCCGGAAACUUGGGCCAUCGUGGAUUACUUCUGGUUCAAGCCAUGCUGAUGGAGAAACACAUUGGGUCAGAGUUAUCCUGUCCCUGGAAUGCUCCUUCCCUGCAGGCACUGUACUAUGUGCAGGAGACAGAACAGCAAACAGGCUACAGCUCCUGCCUCAGGGAGCUACGGUGUCAUGGUAGAUAGGUGACACCUUCUCAGUUCCUCCUACGACAGAACUUGAGGACCAGCCUAGCCUCUCAAUGGCUUGUCCACAUUCCUGUUAAUGAAUCACUGAGAUGUGGCCUGGUAAGAACAAAGCAUCGCAGGGCAGUCCCUUCCCUCCUUGCAGAGAUUCUAUUAA